rnacentral:rRNA from 1 species
GACGAACGCUGGCGGCGUGCUUAACACAUGCAAGUCGAACGAAGAGCGAUGGAAGCUUGCUUCUAUCAAUCUUAGUGGCGAACGGGUGAGUAACGCGUAAUCAACCUGCCCUUCAGAGGGGGACAACAGUUGGAAACGACUGCUAAUACCGCAUACGAUCUAAUCUCGGCAUCGAGGAAAGAUGAAAGGUGGCCUCUAUGUAUAAGCUAUCACUGAAGGAGGGGAUUGCGUCUGAUUAGCUAGUUGGAGGGGUAACGGCCCACCAAGGCGAUGAUCAGUAGCCGGUCUGAGAGGAUGAACGGCCACAUUGGGACUGAGACACGGCCCAGACUCCUACGGGAGGCAGCAGUGGGGAAUCUUCCGCAAUGGACGAAAGUCUGACGGAGCAACGCCGCGUGAGUGAUGACGGCCUUCGGGUUGUAAAGCUCUGUUAAUCGGGACGAAAGGCCUUC